GACGAACGCUGGCGGCGUGCUUAACACAUGCAAGUCGAACGGAAAGGCCUGCUUUCCCUUGUGGAUUGCGGGUGCUCGAGUGGCGAACGGGUGAGUAACACGUGAGUGAUCUGCCCCCAACUUGGGUAUAAGCCUGGGAAACUGGGUCUAAUUCCCGAUAGGACUGCAGGGUGGUGCCUGUGGUGGAAAACGAUUUUCUAGUGGUUGGGGAUGAGCUCGCGGCCUAUCAGCUUGUUGGUGGGGUAAUGGCCUACCAAGGCGGCGACGGGUAGCCGGCCUGAGAGGGUGGACGGCCCCAUUGGGACUGAGAUACGGCCCAGACUCCUACGGGAGGCAGCAGUGGGGAAUAUUGCACAAUGGGCGGAAGCCUGAUGCAGCGACGCCGCGUGGGGGAUGACGGCCUUCGGGUUGUAAACUCCUUUCGACCGCGAGGAAGCCACCUGGUUGGAAGGGUGGUGACGGUAGUGGUAGAAGAAGCACCGGCUAACUACGUG
rnacentral:rRNA from 1 species